rnacentral:rRNA from 1 species
CGCGGCCUAUCAGCUUGUUGGUGGGGUAACGGCCUACCAAGGCGAUGACGGGUAGCAGGCCUGAGAGGGUGGUCUGUCACACUGGGACUGAGACACUGCCCAGACUCCUACGGGAGGCUGCAGUCGAGAAUCUUCCGCAAUGGGCGAAAGCCUGACGGAGCGACGCCGCGUGGAGGACGAAGGCCCUCGGGUUGUAAACUCCUGUCACGGGUGAUGAAUGUGUAUGCGUUAAUAGCGCAUGCAUUGACGUAAGCCCGAAAGGAAGCACCGGCUAACUCCGUGCCAGCAGCCGCGGUAAUACGGAGGGUGCAAACGUUGUUCGGAAUUACUGGGCAUAAAGAGCUCGUAGGCGGCUGUGUAAGUGUGGAGUGAAAUCCCACGGCUCACCCGUGGAACUGCUCUGCAGACUGCACGGCUAGAGGAUGGUAGGGGAGAGCGGAACUCCUGGUGGAGCGGUGAAAUGCGUAGAUAUCAGGAGGAACACCGGUGGCGAAGGCGGCUCUCUGGUCCAUACCUGACGCUGAGGAGCGAAAGCCAGGGUAGCGAACGGGAUUAGAUACCCCGGUAGUCCUGGCCGUAAACGAUGGGCACUAGCUAGGGGUCUCCCUGUGGGAUCCCUGGUGAAGCAAAUGUGAUAAGUGCCCCGCCUGGGGAGUACGG